UUGCUUCCUGCCUGGCAGAAGCCUGAUGCACCUUGUGUACUUCCUCACCUUUUGCACCAUUUUACACUUGGCAUUGAGAGUUGGUCUGGGGGAAAAGACACUUAGUGGAGCUUUGGACUCUCAAGGCAGCGAGGCCAACAGCAGCUCAUAGUUGUCUUGUGCUCACCAGAUGGAGAGGAUGGGGCCCUCAGUAAAAUGGGAGCUGUGGGAUCUGUCACAGCUGUCUGCCACUUCUAAGAUGAUGAUAGAGAAUGUGUGUCAGUGCAUGAACUUCUCCCAGUGAAUCAGGGGGAGGAGGAUGCCCAGCCUCCUGCUCUACAAGUGGCAGUUCCUAUUCCGGCAAAAGGCGAGUUUCCACCUGAUGUUAACCCUGUAGAGCCAGUGAGACAGCUGCACAAAUUGGACCUAAUGCUGCAGGCCUUUGAGCUGUUGCAGACUUCAGUGCUGCUAGCCCCCAGCCAUGAGGAGGGUUGUCUGGGGGAUACAAUCAGGACAGUAGGAUCUCUGAUGUGCAUCCAGCCCCCAAACGGACAAAAGGACACCUCCUCUGGGUCUGCGGUCUGGGGAUCAGGACAGCAUCUGGGUAUGGUGCAGAGCAAUGGGUGCAUUUCCUGCCUUGUCUGGUACCUCUUCUGCUCCUUGACCCCUGUCAUGUCUGGGCCAGCGCAGAGCAUUCUCACAGACCAGGAAGUUGCUGCUUUUUUCUUCUCUGAACACAGGCUAUGGGUGAAACUUGCUGUUUCACUUGUAUUUGGCAAGGGGAUCCUGGCUUCAGCAGUGAGCACGGCUUUGUGCAGGAGAUCCUACAGCACAGGCUCCUGCUCUGCUCCAGACACAUGGUAACUGGUAAGCUUUGAUUUCUUAACUAUAGUGUCUCAGUGCAAAACUUCCAGAUCAUAUUUAAAGCGAUGCUGAUUAUUAAGAGCUGCACUCUUUCUUGACAUUGCUGCUACCUUGCUUUUUGCUGUCUUAGGUGAAAAGCAAGCUCUAAUAAUUUCCCUCUGUUCUUCAGAUUUUAAGCGGUAUUAUGUUAUCUGUGCUUUAGCUUAAAUGCUUAUAUUCCCUGUUGCUGGAGAUCUUCUUGCUUUCCCCUUCCUUCUGCCCCCUCAGCCCUAUUUAGACAAUCCCCAAAUGCAUGGCUUUUGAAAGUGCUGUUAAUACCUCUCACUCCACUGUUUAUGAUGCUGGGCAGUGGUGCAUUCAGAUUAUCACAGCACGGGUAAAAUAAUACCCACUUCUUCGCUUACAUCCUAUUACCGCACCUCAGAGAGCCCUCUCACUUAGAUUACUCAGGGGAAAUUCAAUGACAUACAGCCUUUUGAUUUGAAAUAUAAACUGUUGUGCAGAGAUUUAAAAGAUACCCUAAUUUAUUUGGAAACGACCAGGAGUGUGCUGGAACUCUUUUGAUUGCCAUGCUUUAUUAGACCGUGAUUUUUUCCAUCUAGCUUCUAUUCCCAAAACCUACAGAACGAUCGUGAUUUACUUUGGACAUCUGUUAAAUUCUGGGCUGCCUGGGGAACAAAGCAAGGGAGCUGCAUUCCUGGUGGGAAUAUGGGAGAAUAGUGGAACCGGCUGUGUUCUCCCAGCUUUGUGAUUCCUCUAGCUUGCAUGUUUUUUGCAUGUAAAUGUGUGCAUAUCUAGACAUGUAAUGGUAAACUGCUAUUAUUAAAUAUAUGAAGACCACCUCAAGCCUUUCCCUGAAGAGCAAAGCCUAUCAGGUUGUUGCUUUGCUUUUCCCACCCAGAACAAAUCAGGAGCACGGAUGGGAGCAGUGACAGGGUGCUGGGACCUGUUUGGUUCCCCACCCGCUGCUGCUGAGAUAUUUCUGUUUUCAGCUGUCACUACCAGUGUAUUCUCAGUUCUCCCCUCCACCCCCAGCUGCAACCAGCACUGAGAAGGCUGCCCAAUUCUCUCCUAGCAGUUGAAGCAAACCCUGCUGCAUUUCUGCUUCCUCCUGCAGGACAGAUUUACUCACUGUGGUUACCCUGUGGUUGCCACACGUUAGUUACAUUAAAGGCAACUGCGCCCUAAUCUAAUGAAACAGAAAUUCACCAGACGUAUAAAAACAUUCUGUUGUUCUCCUCUAUUCAUGAACACUUCCUGUGCUCCCCCUCACUAAUUUCGGGAAUAAGGUCAGCCUGUUGGAAGGGAGCUUUCAAAGUCUGUCAGGUUAAAAUAUAUCCACCCUGGUUGGAUUGCAGCGGCUGCAGUAACCAGGAGCACGAGGGUGAUAUUCCUGUUUGAAGAGCAACGAUAGGUAUUUGUCUGCAGUAAGAGUCAGUAUCUGGGGUUCCUAAUUGUUCGAAGGCGUUGCGGAAGGCACACUGAGUCAAUAAAGGCUUUACCUGAGUAAAGGUGACUGAAGUG
rnacentral:lncRNA from 1 species